UACGGAGGGUGCAAGCGUUAUCCGGAUUCACUGGGCGUAAAGGGCGCGUAGGCGGCUUUAUAAGUCGGGGGUGAAAGCCUGUGGCUCAACCACAGAAUUGCCUUCGAUACUGUAGAGCUUGAGACCGGAAGAGGUAAGUGGAACUGCGAGUGUAGAGGUGAAAUUCGUAGAUAUUCGCAAGAACACCAGUGGCGAAGGCGGCUUACUGGUCCGGUUCUGACGCUGAGGCGCGAAAGCGUGGGGAGCAAACAGG
rnacentral:rRNA from 1 species